rnacentral:lncRNA from 1 species
GUCUAGAAAUUCUCAUUAAAAGAGAAAUGUUUCCCUCUCCCGUAUCGUCCUUCCAGGUGCUGAGAUGUGGAUGGAAUGUGCUGUGGUGCCUCCAAGCCGUCCUGUACUAUGGAGUGAAAGCCAAGUGCUACAGGUACUCCUGCCUGUGAGGGGCAGGACAGUAGGAGUGAAUCUCCAGAGAAGGCAGGGCAGCCUGGGAAAGCUGGCUUCUGGAAACCUUUCACCUGACACAGAAAUAAAGGGAUGACAUAGUGGACAGAAAAGGAAAAAAGAAGAAGUUGAGUUUGAAUUUCACAUGUUUACUCUGCCAGAAAAAAUGGAAAUGACGCAGGCAUGGAGAAGAGAUUUGGAGGAAGGCACAGUAAGGAGGUAGACUGUGGUAUCGUGGAAAGAGACUUUGAAAUUUUGACAGCACACUGGCAAAAACUUCCUACCCUUCACAUCAGGGACUGUGUUCUUUGCAGGGCUAUGCAGAUUCUGAAACACAAUGCUAUAAUUACAGGCCUGGAUUCUGUGUGUGUUCUCAAGCCUUGAGACAUCAAGGUAUUAAGUUUUCUUUCCCAGAAUAAAUGCAAUGUUUCUUAUAUCUGAUUAU